AGCAGCCGCGGUAAUUCCAGCUCCAAUAGCGUAUAUUAAAGUUGUUGCAGUUAAAAAGCUCGUAGUUGAAUUUCGGAAUCAAUUUGUUGGUCGUGCCUCGGUACGUACUGGUAUUAUUGGUUUCUACCUUCUGAAGAACCUUGAUGUCAUUAAUUUGGUGUCUUGGGGAAUCAGGACUGUUACUUUGAAAAAAUUAGAGUGUUUAAAGCAAGCAUACGCUUGAAUACAUUAGCAUGGAAUAAUGAAAUAGGACGUUUGAUUCUAUUUUGUUGGUUUCCAGGAUCGACGUAAUGAUUAAUAGGGAUAGUUGGGGGCAUUAGUAUUCAAUUGUCAGAGGUGAAAUUCUUGGAUUUAUUGAAGACUAACUACUGCGAAAGCAUUUGCCAAGGAUGUUUUCAUUAAUCAAGAACGAAAGUUAGGGGAUCGAAGACGAUCAGAUACCGUCGUAGUCUUAACCAUAA
rnacentral:rRNA from 1 species